GAUGAACGCUGGCGGCGUGCCUAAUACAUGCAAGUCGAGCGAACAGACGAGGAGCUUGCUCCUCUGACGUUAGCGGCGGACGGGUGAGUAACACGUGGAUAACCUACCUAUAAGACGGGGAUAACUUCGGGAAACCGGAGCUAAUACCGGAUCAUAUAUUGAACCGCAUGGUUCAAUAGUGAAAGACGGUUUUGCUGUUUCUUAUAGAUGGAUCCGCGCCGCAUUAGCUCGUUGGUAAGGUAACGGCUUACCAAGGCAACGUUGCUUAGCCGACCUGAGAGGGUGGUCGGCCACCCUGGAUGUGCAACACGGUCCAGACCCCUACGACACGCAGCAGUCGGCACCCCUACGCACAGCCGGCAAACCUGCCGGAGCAACGGGCCUUGAGUGCUAUACGCCUUCGGGUCAUUAUCCUCUGUUCUUAGGGAAGAUCGAAUGUGUACGUCACUAUCCGCGUCUUGACGGUUCCUAGUCAGACAGCCACGGCUAACUCCGUG
rnacentral:rRNA from 1 species